rnacentral:lncRNA from 1 species
UUGAAGUCGUGGACUACGCUUCCUUAGGGCUUUCGUAGCUUUUAUUUAUUUUUUUUAUUUUUUUUUCCUUGUUAAGAUUUUUUAAGAAUAUUUAUUUGUAAUCCAUUUUCAAAUUAAUAAAUAAAGAUCCCAGUGGUAUUCCGCGAUGUUCGUAAAGGCUUGAAUUCCAUGAAAUCUUUCAUUCGCAUUUUGCAUCACAUUUUGCAUUUCAUGUGUCUCCCGGUUGUCUCAUACUCGGUUCUAACGCGUACAGUUUCGUCACCCUGAAUCGAUACAACACUAGAGCUCAAGCUCGAAGAAGGAUGGA